AUGCAUAGGAAUGAAAAUGAGGUUAUCAAGAAUAUUGUUAAAAAUGUUACACACAUACUUGAGUUAUCAGACUUGUUCGUUGUUGAUAAUCCUGUUGGAGUUGAAUCUCGAGUGCAAGAUAUGAUUAAACUUUUAGAAAUUCAACAAUCAAAUGAUGUUAAACUACUAGGGAUGUGGGGGAUGGGUGGAAUCGGUAAAACCCCCACUGCAAAAGCCAUUUACAAUAAAGUUGGCCGCGAUUUUGAAGGUAGGAGCUUUCUUGCAAAUAUCAGGGAGGUUUGGGAGCAAGUUCGUGGGCAAUAA